AGGAGAUUAGCUCAGUUGGUUAGAGCGGUAGCCUUACAAGCUAUAGGUCAACAGUUCGAAUCUGUUAUCUCCUACC
rnacentral:tRNA from 1 species